rnacentral:rRNA from 1 species
AAUGGUGGCUUUAGCACGGGUGUUCACCUCUUCCCAUUCCGAACAGAGCAGUUAAGCCCCGUAGCGCCCAUGGUACUGCCUUCACCGGCGGGAGAGUAGGUCGCCGCCAACCUUCUAACAGCCAUGCCCCCUGCCCGCGACCUUGCGCUGCGACAGGGGGCAUUGCUCGUUUAUCCGUUUUAAAUAGGGCAGGCU